rfam:Bacteroides stercoris CC31F genomic scaffold acTTc-supercont1.5, whole genome shotgun sequence.
GGAGAGGUGCUCGAGUGGUUGAAGAGGCACGCCUGGAAAGCGUGUAUACCCCAAAAGGGUAUCCGGGGUUCGAAUCCCCGUCUCUCCG